rnacentral:rRNA from 1 species
GACUCCUACGGGAGGCAGCAGUGAGGAAUAUUGGUCAAUGGGAGAGAUCCUGAACCAGCCAAGCCGCGUGAGGGAAGACGGCCCUAUGGGUUGUAAACCUCUUUUGUCGGAGAACAAAACCCGGGACGAGUCCCGGACUGCGUGUAUCCGAAGAAAAAGCAUCGGCUAACUCCGUGCCAGCAGCCGCGGUAAUACGGAGGAUGCGAGCGUUAUCCGGAUUUAUUGGGUUUAAAGGGUGCGUAGGCGGUCCGUUAAGUCAGCGGUAAAAUUGCGGGGCUCAACCCCGUCGAGCCGUUGAAACUGGCAGACUUGAGUUGGCGAGAAGUACGCGGAAUGCGCGGUGUAGCGGUGAAAUGCAUAGAUAUCGCGCAGAACUCCGAUUGCGAAGGCAGCGUACCGGCGCCACACUGACGCUGAGGCACGAAAGCGUGGGGAUCGAACAGGAUUAGAUACCCUGGUAGUCCACGCAGUAAACGAUGAAUGCUGGUUGUCCGGGUCGAAUGAGAUCUGG